UAUACCGUCGCAAAAGGUACUGAAAAUAUUUCAUCUCCCUCUCUCUUAGCCCAAUUGGCGCUCGAUCAAAACCCCCAAAAUUUCAUCCCCAAAAUCCCUAACACCGUUCUCCCUCACAAUCACAGAGAUUUCGAGUUCACAAUCACAGAGACGAGGACGAGUUCGAGUUCGUGUUCACCGACGAUCACAGAGAUUUCGAGUGUUCACCGACGAUCUCUCUCUCAACGAGCGACGACGGCUAGCAGUCUCAAUCGCUCUCGACGACGGUUAGCGGUGGUGCGGCGACGGCGUAUUACGAUCUCUCUCUCUCCCGCGAGCUCAGUCACUGGAAAGUGCUUAGCAACAGCCAUCUAGAGGGGAACAUCAACCUGCAUCUGGAGGUGAACAGCUUCAGGAACCCCCCGCAGAAGUUCCUCAACAUGAGGAUGUUCCUUCUGCAGAACAGCAACCUGCAUCUGAGACUCAAACUAUGUCACAGAAAAUGGAAAUCCCUAAUAAUAAGAUUGGAGUUCUCAUUGGCAAGGCUGGUGAUACUAUACGGUUUCUACAAAUCAAUUCAGGUGCCAAGAUUCAGAUCAUAAGGGAUGCUGAUGCUGAUCCAUAUUCUGCCACUCGGCCUGUGGAGCUAAUAGGAACUUAGGAA